rnacentral:rRNA from 1 species
UACGAAGGGGGCGAGCGUUGUUCGGAUUUACUGGGCGUAAAGGGCGCGUAGGCGGCCCUCCUAGUCGCGUGUGAAAGCCCCGGGCUCAACCUGGGGAAUUGCGCGCGAAACGGGGGGGGCUUGAGUUCGGGAGAGGAGCGUGGAAUUCCCAGUGUAGAGGUGAAAUUCGUAGAUAUUGGGAAGAACACCGGGUGGGCGAAAGGCGGCGCUCGUGGGA